rnacentral:rRNA from 2 species
AGAGUGCUCCAGGCAGGCCUAUGCUCGAAUACAUUAGCAUGGAAUAAUAGAAUAGGACGUGUGGUUCUAUUUUGUUGGUUUCCUAGGACCGCCGUAAUGAUUAAUAGGGAUAUCGGGGGCACCAGUAUUCAAUUGUCAGAGGUGAAAUUCUUGGAUUAAUUGAAGACUAACUACUGCGAAAGCAUUUGCCAAGGAUGUUUUCGUUAAUCAGUGAACGAAAGUUAGGGGAUCGAAGACGAUCAGAUACCGUCGUAGUCUUAACCAUAAACUAUGCCGACUAGGGAUCGGAUGAUGUUAAUUUUUUAAUGACUCAUUCGGCGCCUUACGGGAAAC